UCUUAGCUCUAUAGCUUUCUAUAUUUCUUCUUCUUCUUCUUCUCAAAGCUUCAUAAAUGGUUCUCUUUGUAUUUUUCCACAGCUUUCUUGAACUGCAUAGAAAAGGGCUUCAAUUGCCGAAGGCUGCCAAUUUUGCGGUUCAAUAAAGCUGUGGGAAAUUACAGAGGGAGACUAAAUUGACCGAGCACGAUUAUAUGCAUCUUGUGUUCAAUAAAGCUGAGGGAAAUUACAGGGAGACACUAAAGUUAAGUACAAUUAUGCAUCUUGUGGUAUGUUUAACUUAAAUUUCAUGUCUAUAUCACAUAUAUAUAAUUAUUCUCAUAUAUAAUUCUCAUAACUCUCUCUCUCUCUCUCUCUCUCUCUCUCUCUCUCUCUCUCUCUCUCUCUCUCUCUCACACACAGCACACACACAAGCCACACACGUACACAGACAAUUGUGUGGUGAGAAAGAGAACAUAAUUCAGAAUUUCGUUUCCUUCGCAUUAGUAUUUUUAACAAUUUUCAGAUUUGUGGCUAUUUUUACGUUUUGUUCUGUCUUUUUUCAUGUUAAAUAUAAUUCUUAUAUUAACCCCUUUUUCAAUUUUGCUCUUGCUAAGUGUUAUAGCUAGACAUAAUUAUGCUUAUUCUUCCGAAAAAGAAAAAGAAAAAAA